GUUAUCUGAUUGGCAGCUUAGUGUUUCCUUGUGUUUCCUUUGUUUCCCUGCCCUUGUGUCUCCUGUUUAUGUUUCCCUGUUUGUCUAGUCUGUCUGUGUGUUGAGAGGUGUGGCCUUCUGUCUCCUCCUCCUACUCCUCCUCUGGGCGGGCAUGCAGGAGCAGCUGAAAUCAAUCAUCACAAUCACCAGCAGUAUAUCUACCCCGGUCUUCCUACAACUCAUCGCCAGAUUGUUCCGUCACCCACAGUGGUCUGUUCUCCUGUCAGCUGUGGCUGCUUCCAGACCUGCCUGCUCACGCCUGCUCUCUGCUCCUGGAUCAACCUGGAACCUUUUUUUGUUAAAAUAAAUAUUCUUUUGUUCAUACUUUAAAA